rnacentral:misc_RNA from 1 species
AAGUCGUAACAAGGUUUCCGUAGGUGAACCUGCGGAAGGAUCAUUAUCGAGUUUUGAAACGGGUUGUAGCUGGCCUUUCACAAGGCAUGUGCACGCUCGGCUCAUUCCACUCUUCAACCUCUGUGCACUCUUUGUAAGAAAUGACCGGGACGCUGGCGCGAGUCAGUUGAAAAGUCUUUCUUAUGUUUUAUUACACACGCUUCAGUUAUAGAAUGUUUACUUGCGAUAACGCAUUUAUAUACAACUUUCAGCAACGGAUCUCUUGGCUCUC